rnacentral:rRNA from 1 species
CCCUGCCAUUUGUACACACCGCCCGUCGCACCUACCGAUUGAAUGGUCCGGUGAAGCCUCCGGAUUGGACGUGGAGGCCCUGCCUCGCGGCCGAGAAGUUGGCUAAAUCUUACCAUUUAGAGGAAGGUGAAGUC